rnacentral:lncRNA from 1 species
AGACUCGCUCACGCUACCUCCACUCAAUUAUCCUUUCCACUCAUAAAACUCACCCACUUUCUUCUCUCUCAUAAAAUCAACAACUCAACGUCUCUCACUACACACUCACAUUCAGAAAAGAUUCCACACAAAUCUCUCUUCACGCUCUCAUCAAAACCUCACUCUCCUUUACCUCACAAAAGCCCACUCACAACAAAUUGACUCAUUCACUCAUUCACUCAUCACUCACUCCCUAACUACCUCACUCUCUCUCUCAAUUCUGACGCUUCAUUUUCUUCUUCCCAACACCACCUUCAAACCCACACUGGCAACAACGCCGUCUCUGUCCAUACUUCACCUACAUCAACCUCACUAACCUCUCCACCAUCUCUCCGCCACGCUUCAAACCUCUUCAACAUUUCUACCGCCGCCAUCUCAAUCGAAACCUCCAUCAACCUCACAAACCCUCGUCACUCCUCACCUUCAACCACGAAACACCGCUCUCCUCCGCGAUUCACCUUACCGUUCAUCUUCAUCAUCCUUCAACCACCGGCGAAACCCCUCGAAACACCGCUCUCCUCCGCGAUUCACCUUACCGUUCAUCUUCAUCAUCCUUCAACCACCGGCGAAACCCCUACCUCAACCGCGACGCCGUCACUCGCCUUUCCGUCACCACCACCAUAACCUCCGUCUACUACAACUCCAACACCCUUCGAUUUUCACCUUUUGAGCAUUUCUCCAGCAAAAAGCUAAUCCAUACAAGGGUAACAUGAUACAUGUUUUUGAAAGAAGAACACAGUUCAUAUGUUCCUUCAUAAAAUACCCAGAUCAAAAGAUACAAAAGCGGAUUAACGGAGUGAUAUUGUGACUCUGCUCGAGAUACUCCCAAUCAGAAUCGUUUUACCCUUUUAAGCUUCGAGAAGCCCUUCGACGGUUUCUAUAAGGCUCUGUUUGAGGAGCUUCACAAGUCGACCACUGUUAAUUUCUUUGUGGAGUUUGUGGGAGAAGUUACUUGUACGCAGGCAUGGCAAUCAGGAUUCACACCGAGCCCAUCAAAAGUCCAUCUUUUUUUCUUCUUCUGCAUUCGGUAGGAUUUCGAGCGGAUAAUACCUUUUGCAAACUUGAACUUGUUUGAGGUACUGAUUCCAUUUUCCUAUUGUAUUACUUUGAUAUUUGUUCCAAUUAUGAUUUAGUCAUAUUACAUAUCUCUUGUAUUGUGAGCUUCGAUUACGUGUCCAUUUGCAAUUUUGUAGACUUGUAAUUAUUGAUUGAUUUUGGUUGAUGUUUAACUCCACUUCUGUAUAAACCGAUUUUUUUGUAGACUUGUAAUUAUUGAUUGAUUUUGGUUGAUGUUUAACUCCACUUCUGUAUAAACCGAUUGGGUGAUUUCCGUUGUCUUUUGGUUUCAGCUUACAUGUUAAACUAGUGUAUGAUGGGAUAUUGAUGCAUUGUUUUUGCUUUGUUGUGUGAUACAUGAUAGGAGCUGAGGUAGCUGUACCUGUCUCUAACAUUGUAGUAUAAUGUAAACAUUGCAAAUAAUUGGGUUGCUGCUGACUUUUUCGAUAUUAUGUAAAUAUUACAUUGAGUUGUUGCUGUUUAAGCUCAUUACAUUUUAAAUCAGAUUUUUCUUAAAUCUAUGGAUUCGGUAAUUCAAUGUCGUUAUGCCGCCAUAAAUUUCUAUACAUUAAAUUGUGCAUUUUCCACCACGUCUCUAUCUCACAUACGACAUUCCAAUUCAUUGUUGCUAUGUAUGAACCGGUUCUUGAACAUAUUUUGUAAUCGAUUCCGAUUCAAUUUUUGUAAAUCAACAUUGUCACUAUUUUGUUUUCUUAAAAAAAAAUAACAACUAAUUGAACUUUUGUUUGAUUAAUUCUUUUUAAUUAAUUAAUCUUAACUAACUUAAUUAUUUGGGAUAAUUAAAUAAUUUUGGUAAUUAAUCUUAAUUAAUUCAAUUAAUCAAACUUAACCAAAUUCUGAUGAGAUAAUAAUUAAAGGAUUUCCUUUUCCACCAUGUUUUCAUAAUAAAUUCAAUUUCAAUUCAUCAUUUGAUUCAAACCAAUUUCAAAAAAACACAAAUCACAAUUCUCGAUUCAAAGUCGAGCCCACUUUCAAAUACCCUUGUAAGUCGAUCGCUUUUGAGCAUCGCCAUCAACCUCACAUAGCUUACUCUUGGGCUUUCUUACAAUGAGACCUAUUUGAUUAUUGAUUAAUCGAGUAGAUGAUCGAUUCACCAUAAUUUAUUCAAUAAACACAUAUUCAAACCAUUUUCCAAACCAUUUUCUAUUUUAAUGAAAACUUGGGAUGAAAAGGAGAUAGGAAGCGUUCGCUUCACUAUUUCUCAAGCACUUGAAUAAUUGGCGUACGCCAUAUUGCGCAAGUUCUUGUCAUCCGAUUAGACCUUAAUCAUACAUUUUCAAAUCAGUUUUUCAAACCAAAUAUAGGUUCUAAAUUCAAAUCAUUUCUAAACUUCAACCAUCAUAUUCAAAUCCUUUUUUUAUCAACUACAAUUUCUUCAACCAUUCAAUUCAUUAUUUCCGAUAAUUAAGGAUAGGAGGUGUACGCCUCACUAUCUUUCGAUUAUUCGAAUAAUUGGCGUACGCCACAUUGCUCGAAUCUUCGUCAUCAAAUCAAAGACCACAAUCGAAUAAACUCAAAUUAUCUUUUAUAUCAAACACAAUUUCGCAAAAUUUAUAACUUAAACUUCAAUAGAGAAUGGGAGGCGUACACUUCACCAUUCCUUGAUUAUUUGAAUAAUUGGCGUACGCCACAUUGCUCAAAUCAUCGACAAAUCCAAACCUACCAAUUCAAAUACAAACUAUUUUCGUAAAUCACAUACAAACAUCUAAAAAUAUCUUUUGCAAUUUAAACCUCGGGUGAUAAGAGAUGGGAGGCGUUCGCCUCGCCAUCUCUCGAUUAUUUAAAUAAUUGGCGUACGCCAUAUUGCACAAAUUAUCGACUUCCGACUAAAACCGUUAAAUAAACUUGGAUAAAGGAAUAAAUGGCGUACGCCUUAUUAUUCCUUGAAUAAGCAAGUAGGAGGCGAACGCCUCACUACCGUGCAUAUUCAACAUCCGCAAACAAACUUUCGAUAAAAAUUCGAACGAAAAGGGAGUAGAAGGCGGUCUCCUUAUUAUUCCUCGAAAGAAUUGGACGAUUGGUGUACACUACAUUGCUCAAUCUUUCGUCGUUCUUCACAACAUCUCAAAACACGUUAAACUUAACUUCUCGCCCCUGUGCGAUGGAAACCAACCAAAUCAAAACACCCAAACACAUCAAAUCAACUUGUCACCCCCGCGUGACCAAAACCUCUUCAAAAGAACACUAUCAAUCCUUUCUGAUGCGCACAACAAACAUGUGCUAGAGCCUCCACCGAGAGUAGACAAGCCAGCGUUUAGCCGUUAGAACGCCGACCUACACAGUCGUUCAUCAAACAAAACACACCAAAUAUUCGUAGUAGCCCGAACUACGAAUACUCUGAUUUCCUUAUUGCACUAUAAGGAUACGUAGGCAGGAGAUUGUUGUAUCUUUGCGAGCACACUAAUAAAAAACCUCUCAUUCCCACCUCUUGAGGUCUUCAUCCAUAUCUAUCAUCAAUUCUAAUCACUCGAAGCAAGCGAAUAAUAGUCAAUUAACAGUUAAAUAGCAAAAUCAGACUAAAAGGUUCCCGUUGAGUACAACGGACGUGAGGGGUGCUAAUACCUUCCCCUUGCGUAAUCGACUCCCGAACCCGAAUAUGGUUGCGACGACCAUUAUUCUUUUUUUAGAGGUUUUCUCGAUAUUUUCCUAUUCCUUCAUGGGAAUGAAUAAAGUUCGGUGGCGACUCUGUUUCGAACAACAUUUUUCCGCGUUCCAUCGCGAGGGAUCGCAUUAUCAUUUUUGAGGUGCGACAGACUGGAGACUCUGCUGGGGACCCUGCUCCAAGCAAGAGAGAGUCUAGCCUAACUUAGUCUGAUUUUGCUAUGACUGUCAGAAAAUAUUCUUUUCUUCCAUGUUUGUUUCUCUGUAUUUUAUUAUGUUGCUUGUAUGUAAUGUGUUUUAAUGCUGUGAGAUAAGCUCCAUACCCGAGCUUCGAGAAGAACUUUGAACCCGGAGUUGUGUAGUAUUGAACCGAGGGGUGUACACCUCAUUGGGACAAUACGAAGACUCCACCUAGAGUAGAUCUGUUGGGAGUUUCCAUCACAAUAUGGCUACCCCAUCAUUGUGGGGAGGUUCUAAAUAGGAUCCAUGACUGUAGGGACCUCGCCUUAAACCUAGGUUUUAUUUUCAUGAUUGGCGAUUAUGUAGUAUUGAACCGAAGGGUCUACACCCUGUUCGAACAAUACGAGAAUCCCACUUAGAAUAGAUCAUUUCAGAACUCCCAUCACAAUGUGGCUAGCCCACCAUUGCGAGGAAGUUUUGAACUUGGUCCGUGAGUCUAAGUUCCUUCCUUGAAAACAUAACUUUAGAACCUACCUUUGGGGAAUUUCUUGUGAUCAGAGAAACCUUUGCUUCUUCCUUUUAUCCUGACGUACUUGACGCAUGAUUGAUAUUGAGUAUCUGUAUUCCUUUAUGGAAAACAUGGCAAAAUUUCAUGCAUUUGCAUAUCAUCAACAUGCAUUGCAUAUCAUUGUCCAGAAGAAAAAACUUACAUCAUAUUCUACCCUUUGUUCAGUAACGCUGACUACUCGACACCGGUACGAGACACGCCACAACUACAAGAUGACACUCGAACAGCUGGAAGCAAACCAGGUUUCAAUGAGGACUGACAUUGACUCCAUGCAGGCAAAGAUGGAUCGCUUGUUGGAAACCAUGUUACUCUUGGCCCAAAAGGAGAAGGAUGCUGAGACUAACGCCGAAGCCAGGAAAGUUGCUGCCCAGUUUGGAUUGCCAUCACUUAGCAUCCCUGGAGUAACUGACCUUGAGGGUAAUCCUGUCCAUCCUGGAGGAGGACCGAUCCCUAUUCCAAUCCCCAUGGUCAACACGAACCCCCAUGAGCACUCUGCUACAUCUGCUCGCCAUGGAUCCAUGAUGGGUGAUAAGGAUCCAUACGACGCCUUCUUCAUGCCAUAACCCGCCAAACCUAUUGUUGGAGGUCUCCUAGACCCAGCUGUUGAGAGACUCCAUGCUCUGGAAGAGAAAUUCAAGUCCUUGGAGGUUCACACUACUCCCGGUUUGGACGCUUUUGAUAUGUGCCUAGUGCCAGGCCUCGUAAUUCUGCAGAAAUUCAAAGUCCCGGACUUUGACAAGUACAAAGGGAUCAGCUGCCCGAGAACUCACCUCAGAGCCUACUGUCGCAAAAUGGCUGCCCACAUCAGUAAUGAUCAACUCCUGAUCCAUUACUUCCAAGAUAGUCUCAGUGGGGCAUCCUUGGAGUGGUACAUGCAACUAGAAAGAGGUCAGGUCCAGUCAUGGAGAGACCUUGCUGAAGCUUUCCUCAGGCAUUAUCAGUACAACACUGAUCUAGCACCCAAUCGCACCUAGUUGCAAGACAUGACUCAACGCAACAACGAGUCAUUUAAGGAAUACACUCAGCGGUGGAGAGAGCUAGCAACUCGUGUCCAACCUCCUCUUCUUGAUAAGGAGUUGAUUGAUAUGUUUAUGGGAACCCUGCACACCCAGUACAUGGAGAAAAUGGUAUGAUCCAGCUUCCCAACUUUUGCUGAGGUUGUCUCCGCGGGAGAACGAAUUAAAAGCCAAAUCAAGAAGGGAAAGUUACCUUGUGCUGCCAAUGCUUCAAGUGGGAUGAAGAAACCCUAUCCCAAUCUCCCAAAGAAGCCAGAAGGGCAGACCAAUGCCAUAAUGAGAGGAGGAGGAUAUAGGCCACCUCCAUAUGCUCAUACGCCUUAUCAUCAGGUUUCCGCGGUCAUCCUGACACCAUAUCAGCCACCCUAUCAACAACAAUAUCAACAGCCUUAUCAACAGCCGGCUUACCAGCAGCCACAUCAAAAUCAACAACAACGUGCUCCACAACAACGUCAGCCUAACCAACAGAGGGCAAGGAGGCCAGAAAGACAUUUCGAUCCUUUGCCAGUGUCAUACAGCAAGAUCCUUCCCUACCUGCUAAAGGAUGGACCGGUUGUUCUGAAGGAGAUAACACCUGCAACUCCACCAUAUCCUCCUGGCUACGACGCCAAUGCUCACUGCGAGUAUCACAUGGGUGCACCAGGGCACACAAUAGAGAACUGUAAGGCUUCCAAGCACAAGGUCCAGGACCUGAUUGAUAGUAAGGCACUUACAUUCACGCCAGUGAGGCCAAACGUUGCAACAAACCCCAAGUCGGCGCAUGCAGAGUCGAGUGAAGCUCGAAGGUAAAGCUCCCCAUCGACCUGAACAAGCAGAGCAAUUCCGCCGAAGAAUCCAAAGAUGAAGGCUUGUUCAUUUGAAUGAAGGCGAUCAUUAUGCCAGUUUUACCAUUUCGCAAUUUUGUAAUUUGUUCUUGUUUGUUUAAGUACUGUAUGCUUUAAACAUUAUUGUUUGUAUUUGGUCUUGUUAAUGGGAUGAUUAUGCAUGUUUUGAAUCAAUCUUUCAUAUUCACUCCUCUAUCACAUUUACAAAUCACAAACACAUACUUUUUCACCUCACUUUCUUCAUCACACUAUUGUUAGUAAAUGUUGGAAGGAGGAUGACGAAAACAAAAUACCCAUAAUUGCUGAUUGUAUGCUUUCGGAUAAAAUCCUGUUAAUGAUGUACAGGCAUUGUUUCAAAUCCCCAAACACUGGAGGUAUAAGGAGUUAGUCCCUAGUCAACCACUUCGAGCCUAGAAGUAGGAGUUUCUUUCGGAUCUGCAAAACCCUUACGUUUAACCUGGGGCACGGUAGUGUUCAGUUGAUUUGACUACACAUAUGAAUUACAAAGAUGAAAUAUCCCAUACAAGGAUUAAUCACAUGAUAUUCUUCGCACACAUCUUGAUGUGUCGAAGAAACCAUACAAAUCCAAAUUUUAGGUCUGUUGUUCUUCAAUGACCAAUGACUUGGCAGUCACAAUUUCCAAAAGAAAAGGUCAAAGAAAGAGCCCGCUAAGUCCGACACCCUGAAAGGAGACCUAGGCAAAAACAGGGGCAAUCCCGAUGGAUUAAAGCUUCAAACAAAGCGGUCCAUGCAAAAGUUAGGGAUCAAAACAAAAAUCGAAAGAGACAAUGAAAGUCUCCAACAAAACAAAACAAGAUUCAGUGACCACCAUACCAAAAUCAAAGGGUCACCGACAUCCAAAAAACGAAAUAAGGUGGCUGCCAUUCCAAGAGACCUUAAAUCGCCAUCUUUAUCCUUACACCUGCAAAAGACGAAUGUAUGUGAAUUAACUGAACAUAGGAUUGGAGAUCAUCAUGAAUAAGGGGUGGGUUAAAAUAAACUUUGAGCCUUAUAUCCUUUGUUUCAAUAACCAUGAACCAAGCCACGUUACAACCUUCAAAAGACCUAAUUGAAGUAAGGUUUGUUCUAAAAGCAUACUAUAGCAAGGUUGAGUAAACUGACUCCUAGAUAUUUGCUAAUAUUCUAUUCUCACUGUGUCACUCACAUGCUAGCUAAAUCAAGCACCGCGUUUGGACUCUUGAUCCACUCGCCACACACUACCACAACACUCCAAAUGAAUGAUUGUUUUUCAAAACUUGCAUAACUGUUGCAUUAAAAUCACCAUUUCUUGGAUAGCAAUUCUUAAUUAUCACUCAGUACUUGACAUCAAAGAAAUUCCAACAAGGGGCAAUUCAAGAGGUACUUGAUCGUUGGUGCUGACACAAAUCAAGCCCAUCUCAUAAAUCAGGGGCAUGGCAUCCGUUUGACUAUGUUGACUGAAGAGGUAGUCAGUAUAAGACAAAUCUCCAAGCAUCGGUUGAUCAGGGAGGAAAAACACUUCAAUACCCAACCCAUCCAGGGAAAGUCCUUCAAAGGCCAAUUAGGGGCAAGACGAGUUGCAAGGGGCAAGUUCUCUUCAUAUCUUCAAGACAAUCAAGCAGAUUGCGUCAGACACUAGUAACUACUUGAAUUCACAACAAAAACGUCGAAAGUUCAUACCAGUAAAACAUCACAUCUUGACAAGAAACCUUGCAGCACAUCAAAAGCAUAAUCAUCAUGCGUUGAUCACGUUGCUAUGCUCAGUUACAGGCUGGCCAAACCCAUCAAGAAGAAGAAUCGAGAUCUUCUCGAAGACAAAUACACAAUAUAUUAGCAAGAGUCAAACUUGGGGCACCAAGAGUAUCCACACCUAUUGCGUGUUCACCACAUCAUCGACUACCGAGUGUUAGGAAGUCAAAUCCUUUCCACCAAUCAAUAACUCAAUCCACAUUGACAAUUACCAGAAAAACCAAAGCCCACCUCGCUGGCAUCCACAAAAACAAAUACAACCAGCAUUAAUAUCCAGAAAAUACAUUGCCUUUGAAAGGGGGGCCAAUCCCAAACAAGCCAAUCAUCCUUUGCAGUCAAACAUACAUCACAUGCAUCAUAUGCAUCACCUCAUUACAUAACGCAUACAUGACAUUUAUGCAUAUAACACGAAUCAAAAUCCAAGGUUUAGUCGUAGGCAUCCAGGCCAACCCUCAGUUGAGUCAUUGUUUUUCUCUGAGUAAGUUCCUACCCUGCUAUCGGGCGUUUCCCAUUGAGUUACAUCCUUCAACCUUUUGUUGAUAAGAUGUUAUCCUCGGCUAAGUCAAAGUAAUGUUUCUUUAAAACACCUACUUUGUUUCGCGUUGAACGUCCCUCAAUGAGUCGUUUCUUGUAAUCUUUUGUUGAUGGAAAUUACAUCUCUCCAGAGAAUAUUGGUUUUGCAACCUUUUGUUGUUGAUACCCCAGGAAAGUCUUACCCAGCAAUGUUCCCAUACUACCCAACAAGUCAGGUUUAUUGAACUUUAUCAGUAGCCAUAUUUUUCCAAUAAUUUUCUCACUAUCAUCCUUUUGGUGAAAGUCCAUUGAGGAAUAAUAUUAAUCAUCACCCUGUUUACGAUAACCGUUAUCCUUUUGGUAAUGGUAAAUCCUUGACAUUUGUGAUCUUACUGUCAUCCUUUAUCAUCCUUUUGGUGAAAGUCCAUUGAGGAAUAAUAUUAAUCAUCACCCUGUUUACGAUAACCGUUAUCCUUUUGGUAAUGGUAAAUCCUUGACAUUUGUGAUCUUACUGUCAUCCUUUUGGUGUCGAAGAUCCUUGGAGUUUUGGUCCAACCUUCAUCCUUUUGGUGAAUGGUGACGUCUGCAAAUAUUACAGCUUACCGUCAUCCUUUUGGUGUCGGUGAUCCUUGUGGUGAUAAGGAUCCUUGUCAUUUUGGUUCAACUAUCAUCCUUUUGGUGAUGACGUCCAGUUUAAUCUAAAAUCAUCCUUUUGGUGAUAGAGAUUAUGGAGUUUGGUUUAAGCUAUCAUCCUUUUGGUGAUGGUGACAUUUGAAAAGUCCAAUCCCACUGUCAUCCUUUUGGUGUCAGCAAUAUUUAAAGUUUUUAUAACUUAUUAUCAUCCUUUUGGUGGUAACAAGUUUCGAAGUUAUAAUAUCACUUUCAUCCUUUUGGUGAUGGUGAUUGUUGAUUCAUUAUCAUCCUUUUGGUGAUAACAAGUUUUGUCGUUUAACCUUACCUUCAUCCUUUUGGUGAUGGUGAUUGUCGACUUAUUAUCAUCCUUUUGGUGAUAACAAGUUUGUGUCUUGAUCCUACCUUCAUCCUUUUGGUGAUGGUGAUCAAUUGCGUUGUGUGCUUAUUUAUCAUCAAUCCUUUUCGGUGGUAAAAACAAGUUUUUAGCGUUUUUGACCUUACCCUCAUCCUUUUGUGGAUUCGGUGAUUGUCGACUUAUUAUCUCCUUUUGGCGAUAACAAGUUUUGUCUUUUAUUUAUACCUUCAUCCUUUUGGUGAUCCAGUGAUUGUUGACUUAUAUUAUCAUCCUAUGGUUGGUGAUAAACCCAAAGUUUUUGUUCGUAUCUUACCUUUCAUCCCUUUUGGUAUGGCUGAUUUCAAUUGCGUUGUGUGGGCUUAUUUAUCAUCCUUUUGGUUGGUAACAAGUUUUGUCGUUUGACCUUACCUUUAUCCUUUUGGUGAUGUGAUUGUCGACUUAAUUAUCGUCCUUUUGGCGAUAACAAUUUGUCUUUUAUUUAUUACCUUCAUCCUUUUGGUGAUGGUGUAUUGUUGACUUAUUAUCAUCCUUUUGGUGAUAACAUAGAUUGUUUGAAAAGCAUCCACUUCAUCCUUUGGGUGAUGUCGAAUAAUUUUGUUUGUAGCUUAUUAUCAUCCUUUUGGGUCGGUAACAAGUUCGAGUUGUCUAUAUUAACUAUAUAUCCAUCCUUUGGCGAUCAGGUGAUUGUUGACCUAUAUCAUCCUUCGGUGAUAACAAGGUUGCUUGUAACUUACCUCAUCCUUUGGUGAUGUGGAUGCCUUUGAGUGUGUGUUAUUAUCAUCCUUUUGGUGUAACAAGUUUUGUUUUUUUAAUUAUUACCUCCAUCCCUUUUGGUGGCAUGGGUGAUUGUUUUGACUUAUUAUCAUCUUUUGGUGGUAACAAAGUUUUAUUCUUGUAAUCUUACCUUCAUCCUUUGGUUGAUGGUGAUCAUUGAUUUUGACUUAUUAUCAUUCCUUUUGGUGGUUAACAAGUUUGUUGUGUAACUAUACCUUCAUCCUUUUGGUGAUGGUGAUCAUUGAAGUUAUUUGACUUAUUAUCAUCCUUUUGGUGAUAACAAGUUUUGUUGUUGGAUCUUACCUUCAUCCUUUUGGUGAUGGUGAUCUUUGAAGUUGAUGAGUCAAUUAUUAUCCUUUUGGUGAUAGCCUUGAUACUAUACUCUCAGUAAUGGGAAACUUUAUCAGAAUAAACAUCAUCCUUUUGGUGACGGACAUCAUCCUUUUGGUAUUGGAAUUCUUUGAAUUGAUCUUACCAUCAUCCUUUUGGUGAUGGCGAUCUUUGUUGUAGCCACUGUAACCAUCAUCCUUUUUGGUGAUGACUACUUUUGAAGCUCGGUUUAUCCAUCGUCUUUUUGGUGAUGACAAAUCUUGAAAAUCAUGGUGAAUUCUAUCAUCCUUUUGGUGAUGGCAAUUAAUUUUACUGUCAUCAUUUUGGUGCCAAAGAACCCGUUCGGUUUCCGCUCUCACAUCAGAAACGACAUUUGCAAGAUCGAAUGUUGACUCUAGGGUUGGCUUUGAUUUGGCAUUUUAUCCCUAUUACCUUGGUGCUGUUAGAAUCCAUUGCAUUUUCCGUCUGCAUUUCUCCAUUGCAUCCCAAAGGACAAAAUUUGUGUCUUUUCGUAUUUAAUUACCUUCCACCACGAAUGUAUGAAGACCGUUGUCAUUCUUACUUUCUAGUUCAAGAUAAUUAAAUAGGGGCAGCUGUCAUACCCCAAUUUUAUCCGGGCAUAUUUAAACUUUCAUAGAAUUGAUUUCAUUUUCAUUUUUGCAUCAUAUGCAUAGCAUGACAUACAUUCCAUCAUGAAUAAUACCUAAAAUGUCAGUCAGAAUGAAUUUAUUGAAAAUACUAGAAUUGAUUUCAUUUUCAUUUUUGCAUCAUAUGCAUAGCAUGACAUACAUUCCAUCAUGAAUAAUACCUAAAAUGUCAGUCAGAAUGAAUUUAUUGAAAAUACAGACAAAUCGGUUGAAUCAUUUCCCAAAGAACAGGCAAAAUCAACAGUGACUGUUUCAGCUAUAUCUUGAACCGCCCGAGCCUUUUAAUCAGUGCAAAUUUAUUUCAGAAUUCGAAGAAACAUUGUAUUUUUUCAAUAAGUAUAUUUUGUCCUGACCAUUUUAGUGUGAUCGAUUUAAUUUUCCGAGCAAAUUUAUAUUCGAUUUCUAUUUCUAAUUGAUCAGUAAUCUUUGUUUUAAUGAUUUAAUUAAAGUAAUUAGAAUCAAAUAUUAAUUAGAUUUUUCUUUUAUCAUUUUUCUUUUUUUUAAAUAAAUAACAAGUGUAAAAAUAAAAUAUAUAUUUUACAUUGGAUUCUCCUCUCUCUCACACUAUUGUCCACGCGUCACUCUGAAAAAAAAACCUCACACUCACAUAGGAGAAUCUCACAACAAAAUUCCCAGACUCGCUCACGCUACCUCCACUCAAUUAUCCUUUCCACUCAUAAGACUCACCCACUCUCUUCUCUCUCAUAAAAUCAACAACUCAACGUCUCUCACUACACACUCACAUUCAGAAAAGAUUCCACAUAAAUCUCUCUUCACUCUCUCAUCAAAACCUCACUCUCCUUUACCUCACAAAAGCCCACUCACAACGAAUUGACUCAUUCACUCAUCACUCACUCCCUAACUACCUCACUCUCUCUCUCAAUUCUGACGCUUCAUUUUCUUCUUCCCAACACCACCUUCAAACCCACACCUGUAACAACACCGUCUCCGUCCACACUUCACCUACAUCAACCUCACUAACCUCUCCACCAUCUCUCCGCCACGCUUCAAACCUCUUCAACCUUUCUACCGCCGCCAUUUCAAUCGAAACCUCCAUCAACCUCACAAACCCUCGUCACUCCUCACCUUCAACCACGAAACACCGCUCUCCUCCGCGAUUCACCUUACCGUUCAUCUUCAUCAUCCUUCAACCACCGGCGAAACCCCUCGAAACACCGCUCUCCUCCGCGAUUCACCUUACCGUUCAUCUUCAUCAUCCUUCAACCACCGGCGAAACCCCUACCUCAACCGCGACGCCGUCACUCGCCUUUCCGUCACCACCACCAUAACCUCCGCCUACUACAACUCCAACACCCUUCGAUUUUCCCCUUUUGAGCAUUUCUCCAGCAAAAAGCUAAUCCAUACAAGGGUAACACGAUACCGGUUUUUGAAAGAAGAACACAGUUCAUAUGUUC